AUACGAAUGGAGCAAGCGUUGUUCGGAAUCACUGGGCGUAAAGCGUACGUAGGUGGAUUUUUAAGUCAGAAGUGAAAGCCCAGGGCUCAACCCUGGAACUGCUUUUGAAACUGGAAGUCUAGAGUCCCGGAGAGGUUAGGGGAAUUCCGAGUGUAGCAGUGAAAUGCGCAGAUAUUCGGAGGAACACCAGUGGCGUAGGCGCCUAACUGGACGGGAACUGACGCUGAGGUACGAAAGCGUGGGGAGCAAACGGGAUUAGAAACCCUAGUAGUCC
rnacentral:rRNA from 1 species